UACGUAGGGUGCGAGCGUUGUCCGGAAUUACUGGGCGUAAAGCGUGCGCAGGCGGUUUUGUAAGCCAGAUGUGAAAUCCCCGGGCUUAACCUGGGAAUGGCAUUUGGGACUGCAAGGCUGGAGUGUGGCAGAGGAGGCUGGAAUUCCCGGUGUAGCAGUGAAAUGCGUAGAUAUCGGGAGGAAUACCGGUGGCGAAGGCGGGUCUCUGGGCCGGUACUGACGCUGAGACGCGAAAGCGUGGGGAGCGAACAGG
rnacentral:rRNA from 1 species